rnacentral:lncRNA from 1 species
AUCUUUAUUUUAUUUGUAUGUGGUGCUGAGGAUCGAGCCCAGCGCCCCACGCAUGCCAGGCGAGCGCGCUACCGCUUGAGCCACAUCCCCAGCCCCCAAAAUAUUAUUGAUUCACCUAUUCCUUGGGCCAGCACAUAUAUGGCAGCUCUAACAGACAUCAUUCAUGUGCACUCCAGCAACACCUACCCUCAGACUUACACCAGGAGCCUUUCAGCCUCUGCCCUUGAUUUUUGUGGUGCUUUGGGGAUCCACUCAACAUCCCUAAAUACACAUGCAGAACUGCAGGGAUAAUAGUGUCCUCCAGGGGAGACAUUUGACCAGUGGGAACUGGGAAAUGAGAGAUACAUGAUUAGAAGUUAUUUCCCCCCAGC